rnacentral:misc_RNA from 1 species
UAAAGGAAAUAAAGGUACCAAUCCUGUUAUUUUUUAGUAAUAAAACACUAUACUUGUUACAUGAUUAACAGCAAUGCAGUAAUAGAUAUUCUGACCGUCUGUGAGGAGUACAAAGACAUUUUUCCUAGAAUAUUUCUGGCUCCCAACUAUCUAAAUAAUCUGUAUUGAGAGAUCAUUGAAUUAACAUUAUAAUAAAUAUUAUAUAUAUAAAGAAUAUAUGAAGAAAAAAAAAGAUAAUUUUUUUAUAUCUAUUUUCAUUUGUGCCAUCACAAGGGAGAAGUAAUCAACCCGUGGGUAUCACAAGGGAAGGUGGGUAUCACAAGGGAAGGUGGUGAUCAGCCUCUUUCUCAAAUCCUCCGAUUAGCUCGAAGUUGAGAUCUUUCUUAAGCUGGCUCAAAAAGAUAGGCCUCACCAAAAGAACCUUCACUCACUCGUAUAUCCGCUUUCUUUUUAGAAGCGUAGGAAAUAUGAUGAUGGAUCCGAUGAGGAAGAGCAUGGACAGAGUUUUAAAAUCAUAAAGAUCCUUGACUGACUUGAGAUCCCCAAGAGCAAGGCCAGCCCUGACAGUAAUAUAGGAGGCUGGUAUAAGUCCAAGCAAAGUCGCCAAAAAGAAAACAUGAAAUGGUAUGUCAACAAUUGGAGAUGCCAAAUUGAUGAAAAGGUUGGGCAACGUUGGAGUUACUCUCAAAAAGAGCAUGUAAUUAAGCAGCUUUUCCUUACGCUUAGCUAUCUCAGCCUGAAAAACCCUUAACUUGUCAGGCCAGAACCAAUUAACUAUAGGCCUGCCAAUCAAUUUGGACAAGAAAAAGCAGGAAGAGGCCCCAGCAGUGGCAUUGAAGACAACUAAGAAAAGCCCUCUAACAACACCAAAAAGAGCUCCAGCUAGCAGUGACAUGAAAAUUGUUCCAGGAAUCAUAAAAGUCUGCAUGAAGAUAUAUGUAGAGCAGUAACCCAGGAUGAACUGUGCUGGGUAAUCUUUUGCAUAUGUCGCAAGAUGGUCUCUGAAACAAAUAGGGAUCAGUAGUCCAGGAAAGCACAACAGAAUUGAAACAAGAAUAUAAUAUAAAUAAACUAAAAGUCAAUAAUGAUUUCCUCCUGCCACACAGAUCAAGGAUUUUAUUAAAGAAAAAGAUACAGAAGGCAAGAAGUUUCAUAAGCAAGAAGUUUCAUAAACACAUGCCAAAUAGAAGGUUAAAAACCAAAAACAGUAAAUAUACAGAUAUCACAUUAGAGUUCUACAUGAUUUGCAAACAAUAAUCAGGUGAAAUUUAGGAAUUAAUUUGGCUUCCAAUUUUGAGGGAAUCUAAAAUAACUUAUCAGGAAAAAAGGGAUGACUAAUCAAACUGACUUCUCUACAAAAAUUAACCACUACUUCUCUGAAUCAAUGCAUUGUGCAAUCCAUCAUAAGCUAAUCUUACUAGCAGAAAUAUAAAUUUCUAAAGCUAGAUGCUCUCCAGAUCACCAAUGAGAUUAUAUCAUAAAAAGUUGAACAAUCCCUUCUAUAAAUAGCAUAGCAUAUAGUUACCCUUUUUCCACUAAAAUACAACAGUUAAUGCUGGCAAACAUAACCCAGAGACAGAAUAAAUAACCAAUCCAUUUAUAAAUUUCAGCACGUGAAACCAACUCCUUACCCAUGUAAUUAUUAGCACAAUCCUGACAAACAACAUUGCAAAUCUAAUGCAAUGUCUCUUCCAUACUUGAAUGACUUUCCUAUUCUGCAUAACACCUUAUAGCCAACGGUCAACCCUGCAUGAAAACUAGCAUUUUUUCCACAUAACCCAGAAAAUAAAUCCACGAAACUAAAGUUUGUUCACAAAUUAAUUAUUUUACCAUCAGUUUUUUUGUUGAAAUUUCACACACAACAAAGAUAACUACAAAACUUUACAAUCAAAAUCUUCAAGCAACCUAGCUAAAGCAAUUCUACCCACAUCUCAGGUUGGCAAUUCACACAAACGUAAAAACCAAACAAGCCGAAAGGGAAAAAAAAAAAAAA